CUGGGUUGGAUUUGGAUAAAAUAUUUUUUCUUGUAAUAAAAAGCAGCUGUAGCAACCUCCCAUUGACGCAAAGCCAAGCCAUUUUCUCAGGGCCGAGGCUGUGUCCUCUCCACGAAGAAAAUGUUCCAGAUUUCGGUCGAGAUCGACCGCAGCUGAAGAGAGUUAGAUUGGAUAGUGAAAAUAAUGAUUUUGGAGAGUUUUGGAAUCGGGAACUAUGCUCGCUCGAGAGAAUCUCCUCUUCGAACGAUAUAUAAGAGGAGGCAGACGGAGGACCUCGAAGAGCACCCAAGCCCGCAGUAGAGAAGCCCUUGUCCUACUCCGUUUAGAGCAGGCUCCUCUCCUUCGAAUCCCUUUGAGUGUAGAUAUUGCUACUCUUUAGCAGUCAAGGACACUUCUAUAUAGGGUUUCAUGCUGGCCUUCAAAAAGCAAUAGAUCUUCCAACAGAUAUUGGUGGGUUCCAAUGGAAGUGCAAUCCUUUGAGCCAAAUACAUUUUUCCUCAAGGAGGAUGUCUCUAUUUCUCGUGCAAAAAGCAAUGCACAAUCUGAAACCAAAGCUCCUAGCAACAGAGUCGGUGAUUCUCAUUUGCCUGUAGACUCUUAUGGAAUCGAUAAGGUGGCAAGCCAAGAGGUUCCAAUGAUCUGGCACACGCAUAUGAAAGUACAAUUAGGGAGAAAUUUCUGACCAAACCCACUAGCAAUGGAUCGGAUGGAACAGAUGAUAACUGCACCAUUGCAGAAAGAAAUUCUUUGGCUGACUUAUCUGCUAAUCAGAGUGAAGGAGGUAUUGUCGCAACUGAAUGUGAAGAUGUUUCUAGUGGUAAUGUUGUGAAUUUAGUAGAAAAAGUUCUACAAACUCAUGGUUCUCAUUAUUCAACUUAUACAUUUCAACCAUUGAAAACUUCGAAAGAGGCAAUCAUUGUUUUAAGAAAUCCAAGUUCUGGUCUUAACUUCGACUGGAACAUGGAUCUUUUAAGUUCAACUGAUUGCACACUUGGACGGUGCCAACAAGAAACAGACUCCUUAUGUGCAGUCAUUGAAUCCUCAGGCGAAAUUUCUGCUUCCGAGGAUUGUAAUGUUCAUGAUAAUAGUACAAAAUUACAUGACAAGCUUGUUCA